rnacentral:lncRNA from 1 species
CUCUCCAAGACAGGAACAUUGGAUGAUAGGAAAGAAUUCUUCAAUGGGUGAGUCUUCCCUUUCUGCAAUGAGGAAUAUUUGACACAGCUUCUUAGAAGUCUGAUGGCUUUACUGGACAAGUGACAAAUAACAGGGCCCACUGUGGAGGUCACUGAGGAAAUGAUGCUGAGAAUUCACUCCCUGUGAAACAAAGGCAAGGCUUGCCUGUCACCACAAAGUUGUUAAGAGUAUGAAAGAAUUCAGAAAACAUAACUGUGUUCGUCCUUAGAGAAGAUAAGAA